rnacentral:rRNA from 1 species
UACGAAGGGUGCAAGCGUUACUCGGAAUUACUGGGCGUAAAGCGUGCGUAGGCGGUUUGUUAAGUCUGUCGUGAAAGCCCCGGGCUCAACCUGGGAAUGGCGAUGGAUACUGGCGAGCUAGAGUACGGUAGAGGAGAGUGGAAUUUCCGGUGUAGCAGUGAAAUGCGCAGAUAUCAGGAGGAACACCAAUGGCGAAGGCAGCACUCUGGGACGUGACUGACGCUGAGACGCGAAAGCGUGGGGAGCAAACAGG